CUUGGAGGGGGGUCCCUCAGCUUGGAUUGCGAGAGGGUGCAGGCCAGGCAGAGGGACCCCACCAGCACA
rnacentral:pre_miRNA from 1 species